AUUGAACGCUGGCGGCAGGCUUAACACAUGCAAGUCGAGCGGAGCGGCGGACGGGUGAGUAAUGCCCAGGAAUCUGCCUGGUAGUGGGGGAUAACGUCCGGUAACGGGCGCUAAUACCGCAUACUAUCAGAUGAGCCUAGGUCGGAUUAGCUAGUUGGUGGGGUAAAGGCCUACCAAGGCGACGAUCCGUAACUGGUCUGAGAGGAUGAUCAGUCACACUGGAACUGGGACACGGUCCAGACUCCUACGGGAGGCAGCAGUGGGGAAUAUUGGACAAUGGGCGAAAGCCUGAUGCAGCCAUGCCGCGUGUGUGAAGAAGGUCUUCGGGGUGUAAAGCACUUUAAGUUGGGAGGCGUUACCAGCAGAAUAAGCACCGGCUAACUUCGUGCCAGCAGCCGCGGUAAUAC
rnacentral:rRNA from 1 species